AUGAACGCUGGCGGCGUGCCUAAUACAUGCAAGUCGAGCGAACGGACGAGAAGCUUGCUUCUCUGAUGUUAGCGGCGGACGGGUGAGUAACACGUGGAUAACCUACCUAUAAGACUGGGAUAACUUCGGGAAACCGGAGCUAAUACCGGAUGAUAUUUUGAACCGCAUGGUUCAAAAGUGAAAGACGGUCUUGCUGUCACUUAUAGAUGGAUCCGCGCUGCAUUAGCUAGUUGGUAAGGUAACGGCUUACCAAGGCAACGAUGCAUAGCCGACCUGAGAGGGUGAUCGGCCACACUGGAACUGAGACACGGUCCAGACUCCUACGGGAGGCAGCAGUAGGGAAUCUUCCGCAAAGGGCGAAAGCCUGACGGAGCAACGCCGCGUGAGUGAUGAAGGUCUUCGGAUCGUAAAACUCUGUUAUUAGGGAAGAACAGAUGUGUAAGUAACUGUGCACAUCUUGACGGUACCUAAUCAGAAAGCCACGGCUAACUACGUG
rnacentral:rRNA from 1 species